rnacentral:lncRNA from 1 species
AUACGAAACCGUAUAUAUUUUAGUGGAUAUUCUUUCCUCGUACAAUUACAACUAAAUAUUUUUCUAAAAAACCAUAAAGUAAACUAAGAUGUGAUGUUUUAUAAUUAAUUAUACUUACAAACAAGCCAUUAACCUUGAAUCCUUCUCAAUAAUUCUACUCUCUCCCAUAUAAUGGAGAAAAUAAAAUAAUGUUAUAUAUUGUGAAUAAAAAGCAAGUCCUCCUCCAUUGGUAGAAUGAUAACACCUCAGCACUUCCUUUUUC